rfam:Asian citrus Psyllid, Diaphorina citri - Florida Strain, whole genome shotgun sequence.
GCUCCCAUGGCGUAGUGGUCACUGCACUCGCCUUGCACGCGGGAGACCCGGGUUCGAUUCCCGGUGGGGUCA